rnacentral:rRNA from 1 species
CGUGGCUAACCUGCCCUUGGGACGGGAACACCCCCGGGAAACUGGGGCUAAUUCUCGAUAGGCGAAGAUCUCUGGAAUGAGUUUUCACUUAAAAGACGCUAAAGUUAUGCUCUUUAGCACCGCCCAAGGAUGGGGCCGCGACCGAUCAGGUUGUUGGUGAGGUAAUGGCUCACCAAGCCUUUUACCGGUGCGGGCCGUGGGAGCGGGAGCCCGGAGAUGGGCACUGAGACAAGGGCCCAGGCCCUACGGGGCGCAGCAGUCGCGAAAACUUUGCAAUAAGCGAAAGCUUGACAGGGCUAUCCCGAGUGCCAUCCGCUGAGGAAGGCUUUUACCCAGUCUAGAACGCUGGGGGAAUAAGGAGAGGACAAGUCUGGUGUCAGCCGCCGCGGUAAUACCAGCUCUCCGAGUGGUGUGGAUGUUUAUUGGGCCUAAAGCAUCCGUAGCUGGCUAGGUUAGUCCCCUGUUAAAUCCACCGAAUUAAUCGUUGGAUUGCGGGGGAUACUGCUUGGCUAGGGGACGAGAGAGGCAGACGGUAUUUCCGGGGUAGGGGUGAAAUCCUAUAAUCCCGGGAGGACCACCAGUGGCGAAGGCUGUCUGCUAGAACGCGCCCGACGGUGAGGGAUGAAAGCUGGGGGAGCGAACCGGAUUAGAUACCCGGGUAGUCCCAGCUGU